AGAGUUUGAUCAUGGCUCAGGACGAACGCUGGCGGCGUGCUUAACACAUGCAAGUCUACGAGAACGAGGUAGCAAUAUCUUUGGUAAAGUGGCGUACGGGUGCGUAACACGUAAGCAAUCUACCUUUGGGUCUGGAAUAACUUCGAGAAAUCGAGGCUAAUACCGGAUAAUGCAGCGGCACCGCAUGGUGAUGUUGUUAAAGUUUAUGUAAUGCCUAUAGAUGAGCUUGCGUCUGAUUAGCUAGUUGGUGAGGUAACGGCCCACCAAGGCUACGAUCAGUAGCUGGUCUGAGAGGAUGAUCAGCCACACUGGAACUGAGACACGGUCCAGACUCCUACGGGAGGCAGCAGUGAGGAAUAUUGGGCAAUGCCCGCAAGGGUGACCCAGCAACGCCGCGUGGAGGAUGAAGGUCGUAAGAUCGUAAACUCCUGUUAGAGGGGAAGAACACCACCGAUUGGAUCGGUGUUUGACUGUACCCUCAGAGAAAGCCCCGGCUAACUACGUGCCAGCAGCCGCGGUAAUACGUAGGGGGCAAGCGUUGUCCGGAUUUACUGGGUGUAAAGGGCGCGCAGGCGGGAUAGCAAGUCAGAGGUGAAAUCCUACAGCUUAACUGUAGAACUGCCUUUGAUACUGUUAUUCUUGAGUUCGGGAGAGAGAGACGGAAUUCCAGGUGUAGUGGUGAAAUACGUAGAUAUCUGGAAGAACACCAGUUGCGAAGGCGGUCUCUUGGUCCGAUACUGACGCUGAGGCGCGAAAGCGUGGGGAGCGAACAGGAUUAGAUACCCUGGUAGU
rnacentral:rRNA from 1 species